GACGAACGCUGGCGGCGUGCUUAACACAUGCAAGUCGAACGGAAAGGCCCUGCUUUUGUGGGGUGCUCGAGUGGCGAACGGGUGAGUAACAAGUGAGUAACCUGCCCUUGACUUUGGGAUAACUUCAGGAAACUGGGGCUAAUACCGGAUAGGAGCUCCUGCUGCAUGGUGGGGGUUGGAAAGGUUCGGCGGUUGGGGAUGGACUCGCGGCUUAUCAGCUUGUUGGUGGGGUAGUGGCUUACCAAGGCUUUGACGGGUAGCCGGCCUGCGAGGGUGACCGGCCACAGUGGGACUGAGGUACGGGCCAGACGCCUACGGGAGGCAGCAGUGGGGAACAUUGCACAAUGGGCGGAAGCCUGAUGCAGCAACGCCGCGUGCGGGAUGACGGCUUUCGGGUUGUAAACCGCUUUUGCCUGUGACGAAGCGGGAGUGACGGUAAUGGGUAAAGAAGCACCGGCUAACUACGUG
rnacentral:rRNA from 1 species